rnacentral:misc_RNA from 1 species
UCUUGCGCUCCCGGGAUAUGCCUGGGAGCAUGCUUGUCGGGGAGGAGGAGGCGAAAACUCGCCCACAGCUUUGGGUUCGAUCUCGACCUCAAGGCGGUGGAGCGGAAUAUGAGUGUUCCGGGGAGCGGUAGUGCGGUGUGUAUUUUUGUACAUGCCUCCUGCUCGUCCCCUGAGUCCACCCAAGCCUAGAGAGCUACCGAUUGUCCGGGCCUCAUUGCCUUUGCGGCGCUGUAGACAGGUCCACCUUGCGUCCUCCGGAAGAUCCGCUGUUGAUACCUUCGCAACCUCGCCCCCUCUCGCGGGGCGGGGCAGGGCGAAGGAGACACUGACGCCGGGGAUGUGCGCGGGUUACCUUGAGGCGUCGCAGGAGGCAAGUUCACCUUGCGUCCUCCGGAGGAUCCGUUGUUGACGGCGCCCCCUAUCGCGGGGCGGGGACACAACGGGUCGCCGGGGAUGUGCGCGGGUGUCCUUGAGGCUUGGGACGGUAGGUAGUCUCGAGAGUACCGGUGAGAGGCCGGUGAUUAUGAUUAUGCCAUACCCCCGAUCAAGCAAGAAGACCCGCUGAAUUUAAGCAUAUACUAAGCGGAGGAA